GGUUUCAUGGUGUAGCGGUUAGCACGUCUGCUUUACACGCAGAAGGCCCUGAGUUCAAUCCUCAGUGAAACCA
rnacentral:tRNA from 1 species